rnacentral:rRNA from 1 species
UGCGUAGGUGGCAAGCGUUAUCCGGAAUUAUUGGGCGUAAAGAGCGCGCAGGUGGUUGAUUAAGUCUGAUGUGAAAGCCCACGCCUUAACCGUGGAGGGUCAUUGGAAACUGGUCGACUUGAGUGCAGAAGAGGGAAGUGGAAUUCCAUGUGUAGCGGUGAAAUGCGUAGAGAUAUGGAGGAACACCAGUGGCGAAGGCGGCUUCCUGGUCUGUAACUGACACUGAGGCGCGAAAGCGUGGGGAGCAAACAGGAUUAGAUA